rnacentral:rRNA from 1 species
UAGGGAAUCUUCCACAAUGGACGCAAGUCUGAUGGAGCAACGCCGCGUGAGUGAAGAAGGUUUUCGGAUCGUAAAGCUCUGUUGUUGGUGAAGAAGGAUAGAGGUAGUAACUGGCCUUUAUUUGACGGUAAUCAACCAGAAAGUCACGGCUAACUACGUGCCAGCAGCCGCGGUAAUACGUAGGUGGCAAGCGUUGUCCGGAUUUAUUGGGCGUAAAGCGAGCGCAGGCGGAAGAAUAAGUCUGAUGUGAGAGCCCUCGGCUUAACCGAGGAACUGCAUCGGAAACUGUUUUUCUUGAGUGCAGAAGAGAAGAGUGGAAUUCCAUGUGUAGCGGUGGAAUGCGUAGAUAUAUGGAAGAACACCCGUGGCGAAGGCGACUCUCUGGUCUGCAACUGACGCUGAGUCUCGAAAGCAUGGGUAGCGAACAGG